GCGUAAGGAACUUGCCUCUUGGUCUGGGACAACUGUUGGAAACGACAGCUAAUACCAGAUAUUAUGAGAUUCUCGCAUGAGAAACUUAUGAAAGCUAUAUGCGCCAAGAGAGAGCCUUGCGUUCCAUUAGCUAGUUGGUGGGGUAACGGCCCACCAAGGCGACGAUGGAUAGCCGGCCUGAGAGGGUGAACGGCCACAAGGGGACUGAGACACGGCCCUUACUCCUACGGGAGGCAGCAGUGGGGAAUAUUGGACAAUGGGCCACAAGCCUGAUCCAGCAAUUCUGUGUGCACGAUGAAGGUCUUCGGAUUGUAAAGUGCUUUCAGUUGGGAAGAAGAAAGUGACGGUACCAACAGAAGAAGCGACGGCUAAAUACGUGCCAGCAGCCGCGGUAAUACGUAUGUCGCAAGCGUUAUCCGGAUUUAUUGGGCGUAAAGCGCGUCUAGGCGGAAAAAUAAGUCUGAUGUUAAAAUGCGGGGCUCAACUCCGUAUUGCGUUGGAAACUGUUUUUCUAGAGUACUGGAGAGGUGGGCGGAACUACAAGUGUAGAGGUGAAAUUCGUAGAUAUUUGUAGGAAUGCCGAUGGAGAAGUCAGCUCACUGGACAGAUACUGACGCUAAAGCGCGAAA
rnacentral:rRNA from 1 species